GCCGGUUUUGCUCAGUGGAUAGAGCAUCAGCCUGCAGGACUGAAGGGUCCUGGUUCAAUUCCAGUCAAGGGCA
rnacentral:tRNA from 1 species